rnacentral:hammerhead_ribozyme from 1 species
AUCCACCUGACGACUCCCAAAUAGAACGAAACGCGUGUUCUGGAU